AAUUGAUCCUGGCUCAGGACGAACGCUGGCGGCGUGCCUAAUACAUGCAAGUCGAGCGGACAGAUGGGAGCUUGCUCCCUGAUGUUAGCGGCGGACGGGUGAGUAACACGUGGGUAACCUGCCUGUAAGACUGGGAUAACUCCGGGAAACCGGGGCUAAUACCGGAUGCUUGUUUGAACCGCAUGGUUCAAACAUAAAAGGUGGCUUCGGCUACCACUUACAGAUGGACCCGCGGCGCAUUAGCUAGUUGGUGAGGUAACGGCUCACCAAGGCAACGAUGCGUAGCCGACCUGAGAGGGUGAUCGGCCACACUGGGACUGAGACACGGCCCAGACUCCUACGGGAGGCAGCAGUAGGGAAUCUUCCGCAAUGGACGAAAGUCUGACGGAGCAACGCCGCGUGAGUGAUGAAGGUUUUCGGAUCGUAAAGCUCUGUUGUUAGGGAAGAACAAGUACCGUUCGAAUAGGGCGGUACCUUGACGGUACCAACCAGAAAGCC
rnacentral:rRNA from 1 species